AUUGAACGCUGGCGGCAGGCCUAACACAUGCAAGUCGAGCGGAUGAAGGGAGCUUGCUCCUGGAUUCAGCGGCGGACGGGUGAGUAAUGCCUAGGAAUCUGCCUGGUAGUGGGGGAUAACGUCCGGAAACGGGCGCUAAUACCGCAUACGUCCUGAGGGAGAAAGUGGGGGAUCUUCGGACCUCACGCUAUCAGAUGAGCCUAGGUCGGAUUAGCUAGUUGGUGGGGUAAAGGCCUACCAAGGCGACGAUCCGUAACUGGUCUGAGAGGAUGAUCAGUCACACUGGAACUGAGACACGGCCCAGACUCCUACGGGAGGCAGCAGUGGGGAAUAUUGGACAAUGGGCGAAAGCCUGAUCCAGGCAUGCCGCGUGUGUGAAGAAGGUCUUCGGAUUGUAAAGCACUGUAAGUUGGGAGGAAGGGCAGUAAGUUAAUACCUUGCUGUUUUGACGUUACCAACAGAAUAAGCACCGGCUAACUUCGUG
rnacentral:rRNA from 1 species